AUGAUGCUGAGGUCUCCUCUGCCGGCGGCUGCAGCUUCUCACACAGCCUCUCAUGUUUCGCUCCCUCUUUUCUUCUUCUUUUUAACUAGCGCGCGGGGAGGUGCUGCCACCGCGCGCCCCUUGACGUCACCGCUCCUCGCGCGCCCCCGCCCGGGCCGAGGUGGGGGUGGAGGGGAGGGGGCGGCCCCGGCGCGAGCGCGUCCCCCGGGCCCGACGGCCUCGCGGCUGCGGCGGGGAGGGGCCACAGGCCGCGGCGGCGGACGGAGGGGGAGGGCCUGUCGGAGCCCUCGGAGCCAGCCUCGAAGGCGCGGGACGGAGCGCGCCCGCCUCGCCAGGGCGCCCGGCUGGGGGCGUCCCUGGCCCCGGCCCGCUGGCGCGCGGAGAUGGCUCGCUGGUUCUCCUCUCUUCCCCAGAGCCCCUCCGCACUACCCCUGGCUAAAGGCGGCCCGGCCGAGGCUCCGAAAGCAAUGGCUUGAGCUCCGACUCCAAGUGAUGAAUUCAUCUUAGUAGUUUUGGAACAGGCCUUCCUUAUGGUUUGUACUUCAAGACUAAGGACACUUAAAAGAGGGAAGUUGCAUAGUUCACCUGUAACCAACUUGACAGCAUAAUUUUUAGGAGUCAAGAAUCGACAUUGGGUUAUUUCUUAAGAUUGAGCCUUGAAAGUCCACUUGGAUGUGGCGCAGCUCUGUGCGCACUUGCACAUGAAAAUGAUCUUCCAUCAAGGAGCUCUCCCUCUUCAGCUAAAUCAACAGCAGUCGUUCGAAGAAGAAGGGACCCCCUAUCUGACCAAACUCAGCCAGACUAAUCAAAUAAGUCUUUGUGAGCAAGGAGUAAAGCUGCACUAGGGUGGCCCCAUCACACCUUUCUUGAGCAGCUCCCUCUAAGAUUGCCACCUACAUGCAGGUCAUACCCUGGACGAAGGAUGGAUGGAAGAUUCUUGUGAACAGAUUAGGUUUAUUGUAAAAGAUGAAAUAUUUGACCAAAAUUGAAGUUAAUUUCAUGGAUAAAGUUCAAAAUAUUACUGUGGAUAUGAAUUAUGUUUGUAUGUAUUUAUAGAUGUAUGUAUAUAUAGUUAUGUGGUUACAUGUUUCUAUGUAUCAGAAAUUAGCACAACUUAAACUUAGUAAAUGUUGAAAAUAAAACUGUUUUGGAUAUUGGAA